GAAGGCCUUUGCCAGAGAGAACAUCCAGGGUGGAAUGUGAGGAGCUGUGUGGACCUGCUCCCCAGCAAAGCAAGCAAAACUGGUGAAAAUCAUAGCAAGCAACUACGUAAGGCCUCUGGCAGUUGGCCUAAGGGCAUUCAUUGAAGGAAGAAACAUUCUAGAAAACUCCUAAGCAAAAAGCAGGAAGUCUCUGUCUCCACUCCACCUCAGCUUCACAGAGGUGUGGUCAAGAGCAUAGGGCGUCCUCUUCCUGGUUCCCAACUUAGAGCAACUCUGUCAUCUGGGAACAGACUCAGCCUUUCACAUCCUUCCAUCAGAGUCAAAGAGGUCAAAGAAGAAAGAACAGUUGAACUGGAAACAGAAAAUGCUCUUCUUUAUCUGAAAUUGACAGAGCAGUACCAGGAAAGGGUUGGAAGGAGUCACUGUGAGGCCACGUAGUUUUCUUCUCUGCUCUGCAAACAGCAGCAUUGGCCUAGCAGCACUCACCCAGCCCUGGCCCAGCUCUGCCACCUGAUUCAGAAACUUAAACAAGAUGUCAAGGACUUUCGUUCUGCAUUUCUGGGCCUGUGGAGCAGAUGGUAGGCCCAGUACCAGGAGCAUCUUUCUGAUAUGGCAGCUGCCAUGCAAAGAGCGCAGCUUGGCUCUGAAAGUCUGCAAGCAUGUCAAUCAGAGGUCCUCCAUCUCCAAACAAAUGGACGUGUGCUACCACCUGGAGAAGCAGGCGAGCAGAGAGCUCCACAACACUGGUGGUGAGCACCCCAUCCAGCCAGUGCAUCACCGUUCUCUCUGCAGUUCAGCAGAUAGCAUCAGGACAGACCUGCGGUGGCAUGAAGUCACACCUCAGUGACAACUGAACCAAAAUUGCAGAGACCCUCAUGGGAGUACAAGGGGGUGGGAGGACAGGAG
rnacentral:lncRNA from 1 species